GGAGAGCUGUCCGAGUGGUCGAUGGUGGUUGACUUGAAAUCAACUGGGUUUCAAAGCCCCGGGGGUUCGAAUCCCUCGCUCUCCGCCA
rnacentral:tRNA from 1 species